GCCCAAGAAUUUCAGGCAGCAGGUUCGGCUCCAUCGUUCCAAAAACAACAAGGUCUCAUUUUGUUAUUUUUAGCAGCUUCCCCUUUAGAAAACCAGAAAAACGAAGGACGGAACUUCCUAAAGUCGGAAGAAGCGAGAUAGAAGCAAACUUUUUCUCAGAAGGAGGCGUCGCUCAGCUUUACGGGAAAUGUUCAAAUGUUGAGUUUCCCACUUCAGCGAACUUCAAGCGCCAUCUGGACUUCAGGUGCGUUUACUUCAAAGUUCGUUUUCUUCUGUGGAGAAAACAAAAACCCUAAAACUAGCUAGAGCUAAAAAAAAACAAAAGCACUGGGAUGUUUUUCUGCCGUCGCACACUUCACUACAACUUCCAGCUGCCGACACCUUCCGACGCGUUGAAAAUCUCCCGGGCGGAAAAAAGAAAAUGAUUAACAAAAAAUUCGAAAAUAAAAAAUCUCACAUUGGUCGGGGGUUGUGACGCGUGUGACGCGCGGCGUUAAUUGGCAGCCGAACGAUCAUGAAGAAUUCAUGCAGGAAUAACAGCGGAUUACUGCCGUUUAAUUAACGAUGCCGCGUCGACGCCGCCGCCGCCGCGGCAUCCAUAUUUAACGAGCAACAUCGCUAACAGGAACUGAUCGCUGAGUCUCCCAGCAUCAGGAACGAGCUGAGGACGCAGCACAGGCCGAUACAGUUGAACAGCAGCUACAGAGCAACAUGUUUGUCCAGCGUUCUCUCUCUUUUAGCUCCGUGUUUGGUCUCCACCGCCUCCUCAGGGAAACUUCUGCAGCCGCUAAACGCCGCGCUACAUGUUGACGAUCCUCAGACAUUAAACAUGAAAAGAUACGAGCCGAACCUCGCCGUGAAUCUCCGUGGAGAUGCAGAUUCAACUUUCCUUUCAAAAGACCAUUUAAUUUCCCGCUAUGGUGAAAUACUGCUUAAAGCCACAGACGCCGCAGACGUGUUAGCUUGAUAUUUGGUUGCGUUAACCUAUGUGCACAAUGAGAACACAUGGUGUUUCCGGUGUUUUAUUUUCUGCGAUGUCCGAUGGUUUUCACUGUCGACACCAUUCAACACAAGUUGUGAGUUAAAGGGGCAGUCGGCGAUUUUGGAUAAAGACAGUGGGCUGCUCGGGAGACAGACGCGCUGAUUGUGAGGUCAAAACCCCUGAGUCGUAGCGUCUGUCGCUAGCACGUCUAGCGUAGUUUUUUUGCGGCGCGGCCUGAACGGACAGCUAGGAAAUAUUCUCAGCAUUUUUUACAAAAAGGAACAUUGGAUUAAAAUCUCUAAAUCCCAAUCCACGGACACGCCCCCCGUCUCAUCGGACAUUGGAACUUUGUGUAAAAAAACUGAAUGAACAGGAAUCGUCCACAUGCGGCGCGGGCAAGACUUCCAGCGAGUGCAUUCUGCGAACAGGUGUUGGAAAAUAAAAAGUUUACCCAUAACUGUUCAAGUCAUUUAUGAAAACAUGACUAAAAAUUAAAAUCUUAAUUUCAAAAGAACCUUUCAGUUUCUCUGAGUCCAUUCUGCUUGUGGUCGUAUCGUACAUUAAUAUUUAAUAACUCAAAUACAUUCAAUAGGAUAAAUCAGUGUUAUUUCCUUUAAUUCCCCGAGUUACCGCUUCACAGUUUCCCCCUUGCAGCUGAAAUGUUCACAUCCUCGAGCAGACGGUGAGUAUCUUUGUUGGAAUCUCUUGGAAAAACUUUCCGGAUGCUGCCCUGAAUCUUAAUAACCAGAGUUCAGAGCGUUUGGCCGGAGUCUGGAGGUGAGAGAGCGAUGACGCCACCCGCCGAUCCGGAGAGACGACAGAGUUUU
rnacentral:lncRNA from 1 species